rnacentral:tRNA from 1 species
GGGCGAGUAAGUUAAUUUUAAACUACGGGGUUCAUGUCCCCGCAAUAUAUUUAUUAUCUUGCCUA